ACUUGCAAAUCCUGCUGAAGAUAACACAUGUGGCAGGUUCAUAGAUACACCCUUCAAGGCUGUCCCUCCAAAUGAGAAGAGCAUGAACUAUGUGGUUGUACAGCUUGGGUGUGAAUUCCAGCUUGGCCACUAUGUGACUUUGGAAAAAUUACUUAACUUUGUGUGCCUAAUUUCCUCAUCGGAAAAACAAAGAUAAUAAAACAUACCUCUUGGGGUUGUUGUACGGAUUAAAUGUGCCUGUGUAUACAGAACCCCUAACACAGUCUCUCAGAUGUUGUAACUGUUUAACAAGUAGUGAUGUGAUUAUUGUUGAUAAUGUUGAUGGUAAGGCCACUUACCCCACCAUGGGUUCAAUUUUAGGAAGCUCAUCGUUGCUGCAUGGCUGAGCCCUGUCUGCAAUACCGCUAGUAUCAGUAAUAAAAUGGAUACUUUGAUCUCUA
ensembl:lncRNA novel transcript